rnacentral:rRNA from 1 species
CAAAGGCUUGGUCCUGACUUUACUAUCAACUCUAGCUAAACUUACACAUGCAAGUAUCCGCAUCCCCGUGAGAAUGCCCUACAGUUCCCUGCCCGGGAACAAGGAGCUGGUAUCAGGCACACUUCGACUAGCCCAUGACACCUUGCUUAGCCACACCCCCAAGGGAACUCAGCAGUGAUAGACAUUAAGCCAUAAGUGAAAACUUGACUUAGUCAAAGCUAAGAGGGCCGGUAAAACUCGUGCCAGCCACCGCGGUUAUACGAGAGGCCCAAGUUGAUAGACAUCGGCGUAAAGCGUGGUUAAGAUUAAAGACAAUACUAAAGCCGAACACCUUCAGAGCUGUUAUACGCAUCCGAAGGUAAGAAGUUCAACCACGAAAGUGGCUUUAUAGUAC